rnacentral:rRNA from 1 species
UACGGGGGGGGCGAGCGUUGUUCGGAAUUACUGGGCGUAAAGGGUUUGUAGGUGGCCUGCUAAGUCAGACGUGAAAUCCCUCAGCUUAACUGGGGAACUGCGUCUGAUACUGGCGGGCUUGAGGACAGGAGAGGAACGCGGAAUUCCAGGUGUAGCGGUGAAAUGCGUAGAUAUCUGGAGGAACACCGGUGGCGAAGGCGGGUCUCUGGGCCGAUACUGACGCUGAGGAGCGAAAGCGUGGGGAGCGAACAGG